rnacentral:rRNA from 1 species
AUUGAACGCUGGCGGCAGGCCUAACACAUGCAAGUCGAUCGAGCGGCGGACGGGUGAGUAAUGUCUGGGAAACUGCCUGAUGGAGGGGGAUAACUACUGGAAACGGGAGCUAAUACCGCAUACCAUCAGAUGUGCCCAGAUGGGAUUAGCUAGUAGGUGGGGUAACGGCUCACGUAGGCGACGAUCUCUAGCUGGUCUGAGAGGAUGACCAGCCACGAUGGAACUGAGACACGGUUUGGAGUCGGACGGGAGGCCGCAGUGGGGAAUAUUGCACAAGGGGCGCAAGCCUGAGGCAGCCAUGCUGCGUGUGUGAAGAAGGCCUUUGUGUUGUAAAGCACUUUAAGCGGGGAGGCGUUACGCGCAGAAGAAGCAACGGCUAACUCCGUGCCAGCAGGCGCGGUAAUUC